GAUGAACGCUAGCUACAGGCUUAACACAUGCAAGUCGAGGGGAAACGGCAUUGAGUGCUUGCACUCUUUGGACGUCGACCGGCGCACGGGUGAGUAACGCGUAUCCAACCUUCCCAUUACUGUGGGAUAACCUGCCGAAAGGCAGACUAAUACCGCAUAGUCUUCGAUGACGGCAUCAGAUUUGAAGUAAAGAUUUAUCGGUAAUGGAUGGGGAUGCGUCUGAUUAGCUUGUUGGCGGGGUAACGGCCCACCAAGGCAACGAUCAGUAGGGGUUCUGAGAGGAAGGUCCCCCACAUUGGAACUGAGACACGGUCCAAACUCCUACGGGAGGCAGCAGUGAGGAAUAUUGGUCAAUGGACGGAAGUCUGAACCAGCCAAGUAGCGUGCAGGAUGACGGCCCUAUGGGUUGUAAACUGCUUUUGUAUGGGGAUAAAGUUAGGGACGUGUCCCUAUUUGCAGGUACCAUACGAAUAAGGACCGGCUAAUUCCGUGCCAGCAGCCGCGGUAAUACGGAAGGUCCAGGCGUUAUCCGGAUUUAUUGGGUUUAAAGGGAGCGUAGGCUGGAGAUUAAGUGUGUUGUGAAAUGUAGACGCUCAACGUCUGAAUUGCAGCGCAUACUGGUUUCCUUGAGUACGCACAACGUUGGCGGAAUUCGCCGUGUAGCGGUGAAAUGCUUAGAUAUGACGAAGAACUCCGAUUGCGAAGGCAGCUGACGGGAGCGCAACUGACGCUUAAGCUCGAAGGUGCGGGUAUCAAACAGG
rnacentral:rRNA from 1 species